rnacentral:lncRNA from 1 species
GAUCCAUACUCAUGACAUGUGGAGGUUCCCAGACUAGGGGUUGAAUUGGAGCUAUAGCCGCCAGCCUAUACCACAGCAGUGUGAGAUCCCUAUCCCACUGAGUGAGGCUAGGGAUCAAACCUGUAUCUUCAUGGAUACUAGUCAUAUUCAUUUCCACUCGUUCAUGACAGACACUCCCUGGUAUGCUUUUAAAAACCAAGUGUUCAUAAGUUUUCUUGAACCAAUUUUAGUGGUUUUAUACUGGCUCUACAAUAAAACUUCAGGUAUUUCAUGAAUCUGUAAUUCUUUGAAGCCAUCCUUGCCCCCCAAAAAACAGCAAAGAAAAGCCUAGCAUAUACGUGUUCAAUAAGUUUUUAUCCAAUAGGGAAUGUUAUUUAUUGAAUAUUUGAGAUGUGUCAUAUUUCAGAUUUGGUUUAGCAUUUCAAUUAAUCUUUUAAAGGGUAAUUAAAAUAUUAUCAUCAUUACAUAGGAGUUAUUUGAAGUUCAGAGAAUUUAAGUAGCUUAAAGGACAUGCCUUCUAAGUUAUCUCUCUGACUUCUCUGUAUUUUAUUAUGCCUCGUUGCCUCACACUGAUCCCAAAAUUAUUUAUUACAUACACUGUUGAACUAAUCACAUACCCAGUAAUAUCUGAAAAUUUGGUAUCUCAUUCAGAACAGAGAUAUAAUCAUUGGUGAUAAUAAUAUCUAAUUGGUAAACACUACAUUAUUCAUAUAUAUUAUGUAUUUAUCUUAUGUAAAUUAAAUUUACUGACAAUUACAUGUUAUGCUUUCUGUGAGUUCCCAUUGUGGCUCAGCAGAAACAAAUCUAACUAGUAUCCAUGAGGACUCGGGUUCGAUCCCUGGCCAUGGGAUCCAGUGUUUCCAUGAACUGUGGUGGGUUAAGGAUCCAGUGUUGCCAUGAACUGUGGCGGGUUAAGGAUCCAGUGUUGCCAUGAACUGUGGUGUAGGUCGCAGACGCAGCUUGGAUCUGGUGCUGCUGUGGCUGUGGUGUAGGCCGGCAGUUACAGCUCCGAUUGGACCCCUUGCCUGGGAACCUCCAUAUGCCUCAGGCACAGACCUAAAAAGACAAAAUAAAUAAAUAAAUAAAUAAAUCUCUAGGAUAAAACUCUUAUACACACACAAACACAAUAGUUGAACUGCUAAGCAAGCAAUGGAGGAAGGAUCACUAAAAUGUAGUGGCUCCAAAGGUAAAUGCCAGUAUUAGCACUGCAGUGAUCAGGGUUCUAAGCCUUGGAACUUAUGAGAUUGAGAAACUGAUCUGAGAAUCCCACACAUCAAGCCAAGGUCCUUAAGGUGGGAUGAAUGGCUCUUCCACCCUGGCUUCUGAUGGAAUCUUAAAUCCCCUCUUUUAUGUUAAGUAAAACACUGCAGUUUUUCCAGGGAUAGAAUUUCAAAAAAUAUAAGCUUACAAUAAGAAAAUACUAAACAACAAACCAAUUAGUAAAAUCAUGAGUGGCAGUUAACUUUAGAAAGAACAAAUUACAAACAUUCACAUGCACAUAUACACACCCACGUACAUAUGUGUAACAGUAUAAAAUGGUUUUAAAAAGUAAAAAAAAAUUAAUAAACACUGAUUUCAGAUCAAGAGACUGUCAAAAAUGGGUGGCCAGGAAAAUAUGAGAAUGAAGUUUCAGAAAUAAAAUAUAAAAAGGUUGAAAUUAAAAACUGAAUGUUUUAAAGAGCUGAUUAGAGAAAAUGAAUAAAUCUGAAGAUAACUUUAAAGGAUUAUCUAGAAUACAAUAUACUAAACAAAGAAAUGAAAAAUAUGAAUAAAAAGAUUCAAAAAAUAAAAUGAGAAAGUGUAAUAUAUAUCUAAUUGGCAACAAGAAUAGAUGUCAAUUCAGUAUACAGAGUAGGUCAUUAGAAUGAAGAGGCAAGGGCUUGAUAUUGCCCAGAACUAAUGAAAUUGCAAAUUCACAGAUAUAUAAAGUACAAACUGAAUAAUUGAAAAAGAAAUACAUUCUCACAUACUCCACUGAAGCUAAAGAGCACAAAGGAACUAAAAGAUCUUAAAAGUAGCCCCUGAGAAAAGACCUACAAAAGAAUAACAAUUGGACAUCUCAAUGAUGGUAUCAAGUAACACUGAAAAUGCUCUUAGAAAUGCUGAAAUGACAACAUGAAUGGAGAUCCCAGAAAAAUAUUCUCUUUUGAAAAUGGUUGUAUUGACUACAAUAAAUUUUUUUUAAAUUGCUUUUAGCUUUAUACCAAAAAUAAAUAAAUAAUUUAAAAAAUUGGUGAGAAGAUCUAAACAGUUAUUUCUCCAAAGAUGACAGAUAGAUGGCCAAAAAGAACAUGAAAAGAUACUCAGCAUCACUAAGUAUUAGAGAAAUGCUAAUGUCAGAGAAUGUUUUGGCUAUGUUCUCCUCCAGGAGUUUGAUGGUGUUUUGUCUUAUGUUUAAGUCUUUAAGCCAGUUUGAGUUUAUUUUUGGGCAUGGUAUGAGGGUGUGUUGUAGUUUCAUUGAUUUGCCUGCAGCUUUCCAGGUUUCCCAGCAAUACUUGCUGAAAAGACUGUCUUUUUCCCAUUUUAUAUUCUUGCUUCCUUUGUCAAAGAUUAAUUGACCAUAGGUAUCUGGGUUUAUUUCUGCAUUCUCUAUUCUGUUCCAUUGGUCUGUGUGUCUGUUUUGGUACCAGUAACACACUGUCUUUAUGACUGUGGCUUUGUAAUAUUGCCUGAAGUCUGAGAGAGUUAUGGCUUCUGCUUAUUUUUUGUUCCUCAGAAUUGCUCUGGCCAAUCUGGGUCCUUUGUGGUUCCAUAUAAAUUUUUGACUUGUUUGUUCUAGUUCUGUGAAAAAUGUCAUGGUUAAUUUGAUAGGGAUUGCAUUAAAUCUGUAGAUUGUUUUGGGU